UUAGUGGCGGACGGGUGAGUAACGCGUGGGUAACCUGCCCCAUACCGGGGGAUACCACCUGGAAACAGGUGCUAAUACCGCAUAAGCGCACGGGAGCGCAUGCUCCUGUGUGAAAAACUCCGGUGGUAUGGGAUGGACCCGCGUCUGAUUAGCCAGUUGGCAGGGUAACGGCCUACCAAAGCGACGAUCAGUAGCCGGCCUGAGAGGGUGGACGGCCACAUUGGGACUGAGACACGGCCCAAACUCCUACGGAAGGCAGCAG
rnacentral:rRNA from 1 species